rnacentral:tRNA from 1 species
UAGCUCAGUCAGUGGAGCAUGAGGCUCUUGAUCUCAGAAUUGUGAGUUCAAGUCCCAC